rnacentral:rRNA from 1 species
GACGAACGCUGGCGGCGUGCUUAACACAUGCAAGUCGAACGGAAAGGCCCUUCGGGGUCCUCGAGUGGCGAACGAGUGAGUAACACGUGGGUGAUCUGCCCUGCACUUUGGGAUAAGCCUGGGAAACUGGGUCUAAUACCGAAUAGGACCGCGCGCUUCAUGGUGUGUGGUGGAAAGCUUUUGCGGUGUGGGAUGGGCCCGCGGCCUAUCAGCUUGUUGGUGGGGUAAUGGCCUACCAAGGCGACGACGGGUAGCCGGCCUGAGAGGGUGACCGGCCACACUGGGACUGAGAUACGGCCCAGACUCCUACGGGAGGCAGCAGUGGGGAAUAUUGCACAAUGGGCGCAAGCCUGAUGCAGCGACGCCGCGUGAGGGAUGACGGCCUUCGGGUUGUAAACCUCUUUCACCAGGGACGAAGCGCAAGUGACGGUACCUGGAGAAGAAGCACCGGCCAACUACGUG